rnacentral:rRNA from 1 species
UACGAAGGGUGCAAGCGUUAAUCGGAAUUACUGGGCGUAAAGCGCGCGGAGGUGGUUCAGCAAGUUGGAGGUGAAAUCCCCGGGCUCAACCUGGGAACUGCCUCCAAAACUACUGAGCUAGAGUACGGUAGAGGGUAGUGGAAUUUCCUGUGUAGCGGUGAAAUGCGUAGAUAUAGGAAGGAACACCAGUGGCGAAGGCGACCACCUGGACUGAUACUGACACUGAGGUGCGAAAGCGUGGGGAGCAAACAGG